GACGAACGCUGGCGGCGUGCUUAACACAUGCAAGUCGAACGGAGUGGCGAACGGGUGAGUAACACGUGGGUGACCUGCCCUGCACUUCGGGAUAAGCCUGGGAAACUGGGUCUAAUACCGGCGAGUGUGGGAUGGGCCCGCGGCCUAUCAGAUUGUUGGUGGGGUAAUGGCCUACCAAGGGGGAGACGGGUCGCCGGCCUGAGAGGGUGGACGGCCACAAGGGGACUGCGGCACGACCCAGACUCCUACGGGGGGCAGCAGGGGGGAAUAGUGCGCAGUGGGCGGAAGCCUGAUGCAGCGACGCCGGGUGGGGGAUGCCGGCCUUCGGGUUGUAAACUCCUUUCACCAUCGACGCGGUAGAUGGAGAAGAAGCACCGGCUAACUACGUGCCAGCAGCCGCGGUAAUUC
rnacentral:rRNA from 1 species